GACGAACGCUGGCGGCGCGCCUAACACAUGCAAGUCGAACGAGCGAGAGAGAGCUUGCUUUCUCGAGCGAGUGGCGAACGGGUGAGUAACGCGUGAGGAACCUGCCUCAAAGAGGGGGACAACAGUUGGAAACGACUGCUAAUACCGCAUAAGCCCACGACCCGGCAUCGGGUAGAGGGAAAAGGAGCAAUCCGCUUUGAGAUGGCCUCGCGUCCGAUUAGCUAGUUGGUGAGGUAACGGCCCACCAAGGCGACGAUCGGUAGCCGGACUGAGAGGUUGAACGGCCACAUUGGGACUGAGACACGGCCCAGACUCCUACGGGAGGCAGCAGUGGGGAAUAUUGCACAAUGGGGGAAACCCUGAUGCAGCGACGCUGCGUGGAGGAAGAAGGUCUUCGGAUUGUAAACUCCUGUUGUUGAGGAAGAUAAUGACGGUACUCAACAAGGAAGUGACGGCUAACUACGUG
rnacentral:rRNA from 1 species